GACGAACGCUGGCGGCGUGCCUAAUACAUGCAAGUAGAACGCUGAAGGAGGAGCUUGCUUCUCUGGAUGAGUUGCGAACGGGUGAGUAACGCGUAGGUAACCUGCCUGGUAGCGGGGGAUAACUAUUGGAAACGAUAGCUAAUACCGCAUAAUAGCAGUUAUUGCAUGAUAACUGUUUGAAAGGUGCAAUUGCACCACUACCAGAUGGACCUGCGUUGUAUUAGCUAGUUGGUGGGGUAACGGCUCACCAAGGCGACGAUACAUAGCCGACCUGAGAGGGUGAUCGGCCACACUGGGACUGAGACACGGCCCAGACUCCUACGGGAGGCAGCAGUAGGGAAUCUUCGGCAAUGGACGGAAGUCUGACCGAGCAACGCCGCGUGAGUGAAGAAGGUUUUCGGAUCGUAAAGCUCGGUUGUAAGAGAAGAACGAGUGUGAGAGUGGAAAGUUCACACUGUGACGGUAUCUUACCAGAAAGGGACGGCUAACUACGUG
rnacentral:rRNA from 1 species